ACGGGGUGCAGCAGGCGCGGAACCUCCGCAAUACACGAAAGUGUGACGGGGUUACCCAAAGUGUUCAAUUUUGAACUGUGGUAGGUGAGUAAUGUUCCCUACUAGAAGGGAGAGGGGAAGGCUGGUGCCAGCCGCCGCGGUAAAACCAGCUCUUCAAGUGGUCGGGAUGAUUAUUGGGCUUAAAGUGUCCGUAGCUGGUUUAGAAAGUUCCUGGUAAAAUCGGGUAGCUUAACUAUCUGUAUGCUAGGAAUACUACUAUACUAGAGGGCGGGAGAGGUCUGAGGUACUACAGGGGUAGGGGUGAAAUCUUAUAAUCCUUGUAGGACCACUAGUGGCGAAGGGGUCAGACUGGAACGCGCCUGACAGUGAGGGACGAAAGCCAGGGGAGCAAACCGGAUUAGAUACCCGGGUAGUCCUGGCCGUAAACGAUGCAUACUAGGUGAUGGUACGGCCAUGAGCCGUAUCAGUGCCGUAGGGAAACCGUUAAGUGUGCCGCCUGGGAAGUACGGUCGCAAGGCUAAAACUUAAAGGAAUUGGCGGGGGAGCAC
rnacentral:rRNA from 1 species